rnacentral:rRNA from 1 species
UUGGUGGUGGGGGAGUAGCCGGCUACGCCCGGGUAAUACCGCAUACGGUUGCCGAGGGGAGUCCCUUGGCAAAGAAACCUCCGGGGCACAGAGAGGGGCUCGCGGCCUAUCAGCUAGUUGGUGAGGUAAUGGCUCACCAAGGCGACGACGGGUAGCUGGUCUGAGAGGAUGGCCAGCCACAUUGGGACUGAGAUACGGCCCAG